rnacentral:rRNA from 1 species
UACAGAGGGUGCGAGCGUUUAAUCGGAAUUACUGGGCGUAAAGCGCGCGUAGGCGGCUUUGCAAGUCGGGUGUGAAAUCCCCAGGCUCAACCUGGGAACUGCAUUCGAGACUGCAUUGCUAGAGUAUGGGAGAGGGAAGUGGAAUUUCCGGUGUAGCGGUGAAAUGCGUAGAUAUCGGAAGGAACAUCAGUGGCGAAAGCGACUUCCUGGACCAAUACUGACGCUCAUGUGCGAAAGCGUGGGGAGCGAACAGG